rnacentral:rRNA from 1 species
AUGCCGCGUGCAGGAUGAAGGCCUUCGGGUUGUAAACUGCUUUUGUACGGAACGAAACGGCUCUCUCUAAUACAGGGGGCUAAUGACGGUACCGUAAGAAUAAGCACCGGCUAACUACGUGCCAGCAGCCGCGGUAAUACGUAGGGUGCGAGCGUUAAUCGGAAUUACUGGGCGUAAAGCGUGCGCAGGCGGUUAUAUAAGACAGAUGUGAAAUCCCCGGGCUCAACCUGGGACCUGCAUUUGUGACUGUAUAGCUAGAGUACGGUAGAGGGGGAUGGAAUUCCGCGUGUAGCAGUGAAAUGCGUAGAUAUGCGGAGGAACACCGAUGGCGAAGGCAAUCCCCUGGACCUGUACUGACGCUCAUGCACGAAAGCGUGGGGAGCAAACAGGAUUAGAUACCCUGGUAGUCCACGCCCUAAACGAUGUCAACUGGUUGUUGGGUAUUUACUUACUCAGUAACGAAGCUAACGCGUGAAGUUGACCGCCUGGGGAGUACGGCCGCAAGGUUGAAACUCAAAUGAAUUGACGG